rnacentral:rRNA from 1 species
AGCGAACGCUGGCGGCAGGCCUAACACAUGCAAGUCGAACGAAGUCUUCGGACUUAGUGGCGGACGGGUGAGUGACACGUGGGAACGUGCCUUUAGGUUCGGAAUAACUCAGGGAAACUUGUGCUAAUACCGAAUGUGCCCUUCGGGGGAAAGAUUUAUCGCCUUUAGAGCGGCCCGCGUCUGUUUAGCUAGUUGGUGAGGUAAAGGCUCACCAAGGCGAAGAUCAGUAGCUGGUCUGAGAGGAUGACCAGCCACAUUGGGACUGAGACACGGCCCAAACUCCUACGGGAGGCAGCGGUGGGGAAUCUUGCGCAAUGGGCGAAAGCCUGACGCAGCCAUGCCGCGUGGAUGAUGAAGGUCUUAGGAUUGUAAAAUCCUUUCACCGGUGAAGAUAAUGACUGUAGCCGGAGAAGAAGCCCCGGCUAACUUCGUGCCAGCCGCCGCGGUAAGAC